AUGGCCAGGCCCUCCCUGCUUCUCCUGCUGCUCGUCUCCGCCUGCGCCGCUCUCUCCGUCGCCGACGAUGAUCCGAUGGUGAGGAGGUUCGAGCGGUGGAUGGGCAAGCACGGCCGCGCCUACACCGACGCCGGCGAGAAGCAGAGGAGGCUCGAGGUGUACAGGAAGAACGUUGAGCUCAUCGAGGAGUUCAACUCCGGCGGCCACAGCUACACGCUGACCGACAACAAGUUCGCCGACCUGACGAACGAGGAGUUCAGGGCCAAGGUGCUCGGCCUAGGCGCUCCGGGACGAGCCGGCCGGCGCGCUCCGAGAACAGAGAACUUUGCCCCCGUGACAAUGCCUGAAAAAGAGGCUGACGAUGACAACAGCACUCUGCCCAAGGAGGUGGACUGGAGGAAGGAAGGGGCGGUGGUGCCGGUGAAGAACCAAGGCGGCUGCGGCUCGUGCUGGGCGUUCGCGGCGGUGGCGGCCAUGGAGGGGCUGAACCACAUCAAGAAGGGGAAGCUGGUGUCGCUGUCGGAGCAGGAGCUGGUGGACUGCGACGCGGAGGCGGUGGGGUGCGCCGGCGGGUUCAUGAGCUGGGCCUACGAGUUCGUCAUGGACAACCACGGGCUCACCACCGAGGCCAGCUACCCGUACCUGGGCGUCAACGGCGUCUGCCAGACGGCCAAGCUCAACGAGACCACCGUGAGCAUCGCCGGGUACCGGAACGUGACGGCCAACAGCGAGCCGGACCUGCUGCGGGCCGCCGCCGCGCAGCCCGUGUCGGUGGCCGUCGACGCGGGGGGCUUCGUGUGGCAGCUCUACGGCGGGGGCGUCUUCUCGGGGCCGUGCACCGCGCAGGUGAACCACGGCGUCACCGUCGUGGGCUACGGCGAGACCAGCGCCACCGGCGACGAGGCGUCGGGGAAGUACUGGAUCAUCAAGAACUCGUGGGGGGCGGGGUGGGGCGAGGCCGGCUACAUGCUCCUGCAGCGCGACGCCGGUAUGCCCACCGGCCUGUGCGGCGUCGCUCUGCUCGCGAGCUACCCUCUCAUGUGA
rnacentral:rRNA from 1 species